AGUGAACGCUGGCGGUAGGCCUAACACAUGCAAGUCGAACGAGUGGCGGACGGGUGAGGAAUACAUCGGAAUCUACUUUUUCGUGUGGGAUAACGUAGGGAAACUUACGCUAAUACCGCAUACGAUUGAAUGAGCCGAUGUUGGAUUAGCUAGUUGGCGGGGUAAAGGCCCACCAAGGCGACGAUCCGUAGCUGGUCUGAGAGGAUGAUCAGCCACACUGGAACGGAGACACGGGCCAGACUCAUACGGGAGGCAGCAGUGGGGAAUAUUGGACAAUGGGCGCAAGCCUGAGCCAGCCAUACCGCGUGGGUGAAGAAGGCCUUCGGGUUGUAAAGCCCUUUUGUUGGGAAAGCGGUACCCAAAGAAUAAGCACCGGCUAACUUCGUGCCAGCCACCGCGGUAAUAC
rnacentral:rRNA from 1 species